AUUUAUGCCAUUUAUCAAUACUUAUAUAAGGAGUUGCUUGGCCGAUCAUUUCUUCAUACAAUUCAUUUUUUCAUUUGUUUCAAAUACUUUCUCUUCUCUCUAGAUUGUUCUUCCUUCAAGCUACUUUAACUUUGAUUCUUUGAAUAAUUUCUAGAAUGUAUUUUGUUUGUAUUUGUAAAGCUUUUGUUAAUAAGAAAUAAAUGUAUUGAUUAUUGGUUUAUACAUGGUAUCAGAGCCAAAUCUUGGGUUCUGUGGUUUGUUCAAUAUGUGAAGAGCCUCUCUCCAUCUUCAUCUCUAUAUUCAAGAUCGUCUCAGGACUAUAUCUGUCAAAUGCAUAAAACUGGGUGUAUCAAGUACGAGGACUACGCCUCGCUUAUGGGGAAACAUGAAGGGUAGUGGAGCAAAUUUCCAGAAUCUAGAAGGACCAUUUCUGCCAUUUCUCAAUACUUAUAUAAAGAGUUUCUUGGCCGUUCAUUUCUUCAUACAAUUCAUUUUUUCAUUUGUUUCAAAUACUUUCUCUUAUCUCUAUAUUAUUCUUCCUUCAAGCUACUUUAGCUUUGAUUCUUUGAAUAAUUUCUGUAAUGUAUUUUGUUUGUAUUUGUAAAUCUUUUGUUAAUAAGAAAUAAAUGUAUCGAUUAUUGGUUUCUA